AGAGAACCAUUGAAGACCAUGAGUCUGUUAUGGAGGUGCUAUCCGGCUGGGGAAUGGACACAGACUGCCGGCUGUAUUUUAGGAAGAAUUAUGCUAAAUACGAGUUCUUCAGGAAACCCCUGGACUUUUUCCCGGAUCACAUGGUCUCCAUAUCCAGUGAAACCAAUGGCAUGGUGGAUCACUCUCAGCUUAUACAGACCUUUCUCAACUCCAGCACAUGUCCAGAGAUACAUGGACACCUCCAUGCCAAAGAGCAAAGCAGGAAAUCUUGGAAGAAGUUCUAUUUUGUCCUGCGUAGGUCGGGCCUUUAUUUCUCCAAUAAGGGAACUUCCAAGGAACCGAGGCAUCUCCAGUUCAUUGCCGACUUCAGUGACAGUGAUGUCUACACAGUGUUGUCAGCCAAAAAACGACAUGGAGCACCUACAGAUUACGCCUUCUGUGUCAAGUCUACAAAGGGUAGUUCGGGCCGGGACUUGAAGCUGCUCUGUGCGGAUGAUGAGCAGACCAGGACCUGCUGGAUCACAGCCAUGCGCUUGUUAAAGUAUGGGAUGGAGCUGUACCAGAACUUUAUCCAGCCACACCAGAAACAAAAAGCUUCACCAAUGAGGAGCAUCUCAGAGAAUUCUCUGGUGGCCAUGGACUUUUCUGGCCAAAAGAGCCGUGUGAUCGAGAACCCGUCCGAGGCGAUGUCUGUGGCGGUGGAGGAAGGCCUGUCAUGGAGGAGGAAGAGCUGCCACCGUCUGAGCGGCCAUGGGAGCCCCUCCACAUCACACAGCUCUUUGUUAAACAUGGGUCUCUCUCCACUUGGGUCAGCCCUGGUUCCACGGCAAACUGUCGAGGGAGGAGGCUCAGCGUAUAAUCACUCAGCAGGGUCUCAUCGAUGGAAUGUUUAUUCUGAGGGACAGCCAAAGCAACCCUAAGACUUUUGUACUGUCGCUGUGCCACAUGCAGAAAAUUAAACACUUUCAGAUCAUACCCGUGGACGAUGAUGGGGAGUUAUUCUACAGUCUGGAUGACGAUCAAACACGCUUCACCGACUUGAUCCAGUUGGUGGAAUUUUACCAGCUAAACAGAGGGGUGUUGCCCUGCAAGCUCAAACACCACUGUGCCCGUAUCGCCCUGUGAACAAGGGACCCACGAGACCCCCGAGGGCUCAGAUGCACCUUAACUCCAGGGCCUUUCCAGACAAACACUCCCAGUGUUCUUGUGCCUUGAAGAAGAAAGACAUACAGCCAUACUAACUGAAACCACUGUUAUAAUCCACUAUCAUUGACAUCCAUAGUCUGCUACAUGGGCCCUCCUUCUUUGCUUUGAAAGCUGCAUUUAAGAACAGACCAUAAUAACUGACCACAUGUGCUGGUGAUUUGCAUAUUCUACCCUGAAGUCUUUGCCCCAUAAUGUGCUAAUGGAUGGUGGUAAAUCCAUGGUCCAAACAUGACUUCCUGUACUCUGCAUUGUAGGGCAUGUGAUACAUUUUUAUUUGAAAUUAUAUCAUGCAAGAAAUUGUCAUACACAACACCUCUGUCCUCUUAAAUUUGAGCAAAACAAGCUAUCUUUAUUUUCUUUGUCAUUGUAUUUUUAAGUAUUCAGGUAUUUGUUUUGUAAAAUAAAUUGCUGUUGUUUUCUAUAUGAGGGCUAAAAUGACCUCUCAGGAAGUGCCCCUGUGCAUGCCCAGUGAGUGGGAUCGAUACUGCUGUAGAGGGGAGAGGAGACGUGAUGUACAGGUGGAGAGACAUAGCACACAACCUCACUGCACUGUACAUUCAUUUGAAAUGUUUGUGAUUAAAUGAAAUGUUUGUUUUACAUGACUUUAAUUGCGAGCUUGUUCUAGAGUGAGAGGAGUGACAUUUAUUUCACCAGUUUUAGAUAAAGCCGUUAAGAAGACUGAUUUUGAAUUCAGGUAUGCAUUUUGAAAUACUUGGCUUGGUUGUUGGUGUUAUUCCCACUGCUGUGGACACUGCCAUUAACGCAUCAGCUUUUAAUAACAAGGUAUUUUAAAUCAGUGACAUGGUUGAAACACCAUCUAAUGUUAGUUUAAUUAUUUUAUAGCUGUACAACAUUGCAUUGAACAAUAAAUACUAUGGACUGCAUAUUUUUAUAUAUAUAAACAAAGUCUGUUUGUAAGAUGUUA